rnacentral:lncRNA from 1 species
GAAAGCGGCAAGGCAAAACACCCAUUACCAAGAUGUAGCUACCAAAGGACUGAGAUUGGGGAUCAGAAAUUCAACACCUUUACCCCAGCCCCUGUGGACAACUUCCUCCCGUGGGACUGAGGACACAGAUGUCACCAGAAAGUUACAUAUGAGCCCCUCCAUUGCAUGGACUGUCUACCCCUCAUCCCUGCCCGAGCGCCCUCUGCUCUCAGAAGCCAAUCCACAAAGGACACUCAAAAUGCAUAAAAAUCUCCUUAUGGCACUUAAAUGUUUAUGGGUAAUAAAAGGAAUCAUUCCUCUC